UCGAGAAUCUUCGGCAAUGGGCGCAAGCCUGACCGAGCGACGCCGCGUGGAGGAUGAAGGCCUUCGGGUUGUAAACUCCUGUCGAGGGGGAACAAGGUUCGGCGCAGAGCCGAGCUUGAGUGAUCCCUGGAGGAAGCACGGGCUAAGUUCGUGCCAGCAGCCGCGGUAAGACGAACCGUGCAAACGUUAUUCGGAAUCACUGGGCUUAAAGCGCGUGUAGGCGGAUCGAUGCGUCGGUCGUUGAAAGCCCCUGGCUCAACCAGGGAACAGGCGCCGAUACGGUCGAUCUGGAGGGAGGUAGGGGGAGCCGGAACUUCCGGUGGAGCGGUGAAAUGCGUUGAGAUCGGAAGGAACGCCCGUGGCGAAAGCGGGCUCCUGGACCUCACCUGACGCUGAGACG
rnacentral:rRNA from 1 species